rnacentral:rRNA from 1 species
UACGUAGGGGGCAAGCGUUGUCCGGAAUCAUUGGGCGUAAAGAGCGCGUAGGCGGCCCUGUAAGUCCGCUGUGAAAGUCAAGGGCUCAACCCUUGAAUGCCGGUGGAUACUGCAGGGCUAGGAUCCGGAAGAGGUGAGUGGAAUUCCUAGUGUAGAGGUGAAAUUCGUAGAUAUUAGGAAGAACACCAGUGGCGAAGGCGGCUCACUGGUCCGGUACUGACGCUGAGGUGCGAAAGCGUGGGGAGCAAACAGG